rnacentral:rRNA from 1 species
CAGGGAUUGCCUUAGUAACGGCGAGUGAAGCGGCAAUAGCUCAAAUUUGAAAUCUGGCGCUUGCGUCCGAGUUGUAAUUUGUAGAGGAUGAUUUUGGUUAGGUACCUUUCGAGUUCCUUGGAACAGGACGCCUUAGAGGGUGAGAGCCCCGUACGAUUGGAUGCCGAGCCUUUGUAAAUCUCCUUCGACGAGUCGAGUAGUUUGGGAAUGCUGCUCUAAAUGGGAGGUAAAUUUCUUCUAAAGCUAAAUACCGGCCAGAGACCGAUAGCGCACAAGUAGAGUGAUCGAAAGAUGAAAAGCACUUUGAAAAGAGGGUUAAAUAGCACGUGAAAUUGUUGAAAGGGAAGGAUUUAUGACCAGACUUUUUCUAGGAGGAUCAUCCGGUGUUCUCACCGGUGCACUUCUUCUAGUUUAGGCCAGCAUCGACUUCUGGCGGCGGAUAAAAGCUUUAGGAAUGUGGCUCUCUACGGGGAGUGUUAUAGCCUAUUGUAUAAUACGCUGCUGGGGGUCGAGGUACGCGCUUCUGCAAGGAUGCUGGCGUAAUGGUUAUCAAUCACCCGUCUUGAAACACGGACCAAGGAGUCGAACAUUUAUGCGAGUGUUUGGGUGUUAAACCCUCACGCGUAAUGAAAGUGAACGGAGGUGAGAGCCCUUACGGGUGCAUCAUCGACCGAUCCUGAAGUUUUCGGAUGGAUUUGAGUAAGAGCAUAACUGUUCGGACCCGAAAGAUGGUGAACUAUGCGUGGAUAGGGUGAAGCCAGAGGAAACUCUGGUGGAGGCUCGCAGCGGUUCUGACGUGCAAAUCGAUCGUCAAAUCUGCGCAUGGGG